AGAUAUAUAUCUGAAAUAAAAGAAGAGCAGAUAAGAACCAAAAAAGAAGAAUUAAAACUAGCUAAAAUAAAUAAUUAGCUUUUAUGUUUUUAAAGGAGGGAAAAGUUUUUUUAUUUUUUAAUCUACUUCUUCG
rnacentral:ribozyme from 11 species